rnacentral:miRNA from 1 species
GGUUUUUCUGUGUAGCCUGGCUGGCCUGGAACUCGCUCUGUAGACCAGGCUGGCCUCGAACUCAAGGAAAUUCACCUGCCUCUGCCUCCCGAGUACUGGGAUUAAAGGCAUGCGCCACCACUGCCC